UGUGGGGGUCUUACACAGUGUGGGGAUCUCAGCCAAUGUGGGGGUCUCAGCCAAUGUGGGGUCUUACACAGCGUUGGGGUCUCAGCCAAUGUGGGGGUCUUUGCCAAUCCGGGUGUAUCAGCCAAUGAUGACCAUCGCAGAAACGUUUAAUUGAGCUGGGAUUAGGGGGUCACAUUUACCCUGCUAGUAAGGUCCUUGAAAUCCCCAAUAUUUAAACCAAUCCUGGGGUCUCAGCCAGUCCUGGUGUCUCAUCCAGUGUGGGGGUCUCAGGCAGUCCUGGUGUCUCAUCCAGUGUGGGGGUCUCAGGCAGUCCUGGUGUCUCAUCCAGUGUGGGGGUCUCAGCCAGUCCUGGUGUCUCAUCCAGUGUGGGGGUCUCAGCCAGUCCUGGUGUCUCAUCCAGUGUGGGGGUCUCAGCCAGUCCUGGUGUCUCAGCCAGUGAGGUCCAUGGCAGAAAGCUGGGCAAGUGGCUCUGGCUACCAGCUCCUGGAGGUGAGAAGUCAGAGAACCUCCUAAAGUACCGACCCCUGGACGGUGUGCUCAGCGCUCCCUAAAUUCUCUACUCUGAGAGCACUUUCAAACACACCUACACACAUGCCUACC
rnacentral:lncRNA from 1 species